UGAUGAAAGAGAAGAUCUACAGCAGAAGAGACGUCACCUGGAGGCUCUGGAUGUGACAGCAGAUGAUCUAGCAAUCAAGUUCCACAGACAAGGUGAAAAACCCAAAUGGAAUCACCGCCAAAGACGCCUCUAUUUUCAAGACCCAGAGCCACCACAUCAGCUUGAACAUAAUUUUCAUCAUAACCAUUCUGCGGAGGCGAGUGGUGGCCAGAAAAAGAGACUGAUUGAUUCCAAUCAAAGAAGACGUCACGUCUGAUUCGCCCUAUUUCAACACUUCUUUCUGAAUUACGGGAAAAAUACAGUCCUCAAUCUAACAUGGAAUGCUUCCCAGACAAUCCAACUCCACAACAAAAAAUGAAAUAUAUAUUGAGUUUGAUGAAGAGCCGGUGGAUAAUCGUGUUGGCAGCACUAAUUGGUGCACCGGUUCAAUAUGUCAUAUUAUGCCAACAUAUGUGGAGUCUAUGUUGCCAAGAGAUGCAAAAUGCAGAACCUUUUAUAUUGGACAAUGCCUGUAUAACGAUUCAUGAGUACUUUAAUUUAUACUGUCAAAGAGAAGACCUUAUAAAUAUUAAUCUACGUGCCGUUGGUCAAGUUAGGACCCCACCUUUGGAUAGAGAUCUCAACAGAUUUUACACUGCACUUCAAUGUACUGAACAAACAACUGCAAGGUGGAGGGAAAACAGCAGAAAGAAUGUUUUGCAAUAUCAAAACAUUUGAGAGAAAACUACAGGUUUUUGAAAGCGACCUUGAAAGUGGGCAGCUAAAAUAUUUUCCAAAUCUAAAAAAGCAUUUAGAAAAUGCUACAGCAUUUGCAGACAAUCCUACCAGCCACCAGGAACUCUACAAGGAAUGUUCUAGCAUCCUAGCAGCUGCAAAGGUGAAUUUUAGUAAAAGAUUUUUACAAUUCCGUAAAUUGGAGACAACCCUGUGUUUUCUCACUUCUCCAG